rnacentral:lncRNA from 1 species
GUAUCCCCUCUCGCAGCAACAGGUCACACCACACGCCUUUUCGAAGGAAGUGGGUAAACAGCACUAAGACUACCACCUUGCCUUUAAUUUCCAGAAGUGGUAUUACACUUAACAAAUGAACAAGGGAUAACAAUUGCUGUUUCAGUCCAGACCCAAUUUCACCAAAUAAUUUCACUCAAGAGCUAUUAUUGACAAGCACCGUGGGCUCAAUGGUGUCAAGUUGUACUUGUGGUUUCAACACCCCGCAGCAACCCACGUAGCCGCUGGGCCCUGGAUUAGGACCCCCAGUCUGGCAGUGCUUAUCUGCCCGUCUGAGUGAUGGAGAGAUGAGUAUCAGUCUAUACCUCAACUGCUUCAAGCCCGCCUGGGCUUUCUCCCUGGCGCCUUUGUCUGUGUCAGGGUUGGAGCAACGAAACUGAAAGAUCUCCAGAGUUUGAAAACAGAGUGAAAGAGCAAAUUUAAUAAAUGAGAGCUCAGCCUUGAAUCUUAGUCUUUAUUAAUAGAGUCAUGUCCCUCACACCCAAAUAACUAUCAAACUUCAAACCACAUGUACUGUUUUUCAGAGUUCGGGUUCUUUCCUGGGUUCAUCAUGAAAGGUGUGAGGGAUGAAGGGGAAAAGGGUCUGAGGAGUUGGCAGG